rnacentral:rRNA from 1 species
UCAAUAAGCGGAGGAAAAGAAACUAACAAGGAUUCCCCUAGUAAACGGCGAGCGAACCGGGAAGAGCUCAAAUUUGAAAUCUGGCGUCCCACGGGCGUCCGAGUUGUAAUCUGCAGAGGCGUCUUCCGCCCCGGACCGCGUCCAAGUCCCUUGGAACAGGGUAUCAAAGAGGGUGACAAUCCCGUGCUUGACGCGACCCCCGGUGCUAUGUGAUGCGACCUCAAAGAGUCGAGUUGUUUGGGAAUGCAGCUCAAAACGGGUGGUAAAUUCCAUCUAAGGCUAAAUAUUGGCGAGAGACCGAUAGCGAACAAGUACCGUGAGGGAAAGAUGAAAAGCACUUUGGAAAGAGAGUUAAACAGUACGUGAAAUUGUUGGAAGGGAAACGAUUGAAGUCAGUCGUGUCCGAGGGGUUCAGCCGGUCCUGCCGGUGCACUCCCCUCGGACGGGUCAACAUCGGUUCUGUCCGGCGGACAAGGGCAGGGGGAACGUGGCACCCUCGUGGUGUGUUAUAGCCCCCCGUCGCAUACGUCGGUCGGGACCGAGGAUCGCAGCUCGCCCUCACGGGCCGGGGUUCGCCCACGUCCGAGCUUAGGAUGUUGACGUAAUGGCUUUAAACGACCCGUCUUGAAAC